GUCUAUGGCCAUACUAUCCCAAACGUACCCAAUCACCACUGAUCUUGGAAUCUAAGCAUGACAAAGCCUGGUUAGUAUUUGGAGAGAGAAGAAACUCCUGGGCGGAGGAGCUGCAGACA
ensembl:rRNA 5S_rRNA 5S ribosomal RNA